GUUUGACCUCGGAUCAGGUAGGAAUACCCGCUGAACUUAA
rnacentral:rRNA from 3 species